rnacentral:rRNA from 1 species
UACGUAGGGUGCAAGCGUUGUCCGGAAUUAUUGGGCGUAAAGAGCUCGUAGGCGGUUCGUCGCGUCGGCUGUGAAAACCCGGAGCUCAACUCCGGGCCUGCAGUCGAUACGGGCGGACUUGAGUGUUGCAGGGGAGACUGGAAUUCCUGGUGUAGCGGUGAAAUGCGCAGAUAUCAGGAGGAACACCGGUGGCGAAGGCGGGUCUCUGGGCAUGUCCUGACGCUGAGGCUCGAAGGCUGGGGGAGCGAACAGG